CCCCCACCUUCAGGCAUAAAUUAAACACCAUCAUCAUUUGAAGAAUUUGUCGACAUCAAAGCACUUAGCUAGGUUUUGCUUUUUCACUAGAGAAUACUGCACACUUCCUCUUUUAUUCGACAAAAUGUCUACCCUCUAGAUGGUAGGAAAAAUUACAACAAACUAGAGGAGCUUAGCUAAUAAGCUAGCUAGCCCACUUGAACCAACAUUUUGGGAGGCGAUCUCUCUCUCUGAGAUUACGGCUGAUAUCUCCAAAGUAACUGAUGAAAAGCUUGGACCACUGUCGCAGUUGUUACUAAUGCAGCGUAAAGAACUGAUGGUUUACACUGAUUUUUGCCCCACAUUUUGAGUUCCUGCACAUUGAAACUUUGUUCUGUUUCCUGCUAAAAGAGAACAGUAACCACAGGAACUGGGUCCUGGUGUAGCAGGCACAGUUACAGGAAGUUAUGAGAAAAAAAACAGGAAGAGAAGAGAGGAGCCAUCUGAUUAUGCUUCAGAUAAUCCCUGAAUCAUAAGUCUUUCAGUAUCAUACAGCAGUGAAACUACAGAACGUGCUGUCAUAUUAACAUUGUAUGUUCAAAUAUGGGUUUUCUGGAGUUCUGUCAUCGUCAUCCUGCGGGGUUUGUUUUCUUCCCUGUUGUUUGCCUCCACAAGCCACGCCUGUUUUUUGCUUGGAGGAAGAUCUUGAGGAUGAAAACGUUACCUUUGAAAAGAAAAUGAAAGUGUUUAUUCUGAGGCUAACCAUGUGCAGGCCUUUCUCCUUCGCGCCCUGCAGUUAUAAAUGUUUUGUCUGCCCGUGAAUAUUUUUAGUCUGGCAUGUGCACACUAGGUCUCUCUUCUGUAUGUAUUGUCACCUGGCCUGAACACUGCAGGCAUUCUAAAUGACAGACUCUUAGUGUGUCCACAGUGAAAAGCUUCAUGAUUGUACAGUUGCUGUUUUAAAUGAAGAGACAGAAAUAACACUCUGCUAGCGCGGAGGAGUGAGCUGGUGUGUAUGAUCGGAAAGUAAAACAAAUACCUUUAAACUAGUAGAAUUUGUGUUGACUUAGCACUGAGCUUAAAGCUGAAGCUGCCUCACAUUUAUGUCUUCUACUGUGCAGACAGGAGUAGCAGUGCACAUUACAUUUGCAUAUGGUAUUUUCACCUCUUAAGGAAUGCACUCUAUAAUAUAAUAACAGCGCCUGGCUCUUAAAGAGAGACUUGAACACCCUUUUUGCCAAAUAUUUCUGAGUUUGAUAACCUUUCAUUAUGAUUUGUUGAUCACUCUCA